CAGAGUUCCUCUGACCACUUCACUGGGGCUCUUCAUCUUCAUUCCUUAUUACUUUUACUUUAGCUGCCCAUCUGAAGUGUUUGGAGGAACUCUCGAUGGCAUCCGACCGACGCUUUUUCUUUUCGAUCUUCUCCAUCUUAACAGGGAAAGCGAACCGAAUAAUAUAGACGGGCUAUGGCAAACUGGGAAGUGAGAGCCUGGUGGUGAUGAGCAGGAAUUAAUUAUUAUGCUUGGAUUUCUGGAUCAUAUACAAAUUAAGAUUGAGGAUGCCUUUUCUUGAGGGUUCCAACCGUUACACUAUUUCGGCAGCAGCACUCUCUGCAGAUUUAUACCCAGAUUGUGCUCAAGUCCAGAUUGUGUUCAAGUCAAGGUUAUGAUGGGAGUGCAGUGUGAAUUUAUCGACCAGAACGGUAACGUAAUCUAUCUUGGCAGUGCCUCAAUGCAAACACAAGAAGCAUCAUGCAUUUUUCAGCUUCCUGAAAUCCUUAAAAAAAACCAUUUACUGUAGACAAACAACUCUCGGACGCACUAACAUCUCUGCAAAUAUUCGAUCAAGAAUGUUGUGAUAAGAUAAUUAGAGUGAUAUUCAAUAUCAUUAACAGCCACUUGGGUACUGGGAAUGGUUUUACAGUAUGUACUUCUAUAACCAAAGUUCAAAGGGUUUAUGUAACGAAGUGCGAUAUCAAUGGCUGAAGUUGAAAGCUGCGAGCGAGUGGUUCACGAAGGAUCGAUGACAAGCAUUGUGGUGGAAAGAGAGCCAGUAGUAUUGACCAGUUAGCCGCUUUGAGAUGCCGUCUAUUUAUAAAUCUUUGGUGGCUUAGUUUUCUUUUUUUGGGUUGAAAAUUUUCUGUAGUAUAUAGCUAGGAGAGUGGAGUAAAGUUUAUGAUCUUGAAACAGGGAUUGUCGGGUUUAUGAUGUUAUGUACUCUUGUAUAUUGUGUUUAUGAAAUUAUAAUAAAUUUAUUUUAU